GUGAUUUACUCUCUGGAAGUACCUCAGUGUCCCCACUGACAUGGAGCUGAAGAAAACUGCUUCCUCCUGAAGUUUCUCAUUUCAGUGUCUACAGUGGCAUAUGACAAAGACUGGUAAAGGUGUCACCUUGUCUGGCAGUAUGAUCCAAUGUCUCAUCACUGUCUGUGCUGGGAAGUGGUGUCCAAUUUCAAGGUGUGCCUACAAGAAGUGAUCGAGUUACCUCCUAAACCCAUCAGUGAACUAAGUAAUCUCAGUGCUAUCGUGUGAUCAGAGCCUUACAUUCUCUGAGGCUCAGUAGCAUUUAUUUCAAAACCAGAAAAAAGAUUUGGCUUAAUUUCAAGAGUAAUUUGGAGAUCUGUCAAACAAUGGUGCCCAUCCUUCUCCAACAGAACACAGGACCUUUUUCACUGACUAAAUCUCACCUGCUUCUGCUGAUAUGUUCCAGCAAAGCUGCCAGCAAAUGCCAAGCAACAGGCAAGUGGAAAGAGUGUACGUUGUGAAGAAACAUCUAAGAUGAAGUGAGUGGGAAAUGCCAACCCCAUGCACUGAAAUGGGGGGUUCCAGCUGUUCUCCACAGUGAACGGGCUCAUUGCCUGGCUCCUAGCCUCUAUUUUUGAUUGCACAUCACAAGAAGCCUAUGUUAAAAGCAUCUUGUAACAACCUGUCAGUGAAGUGAAUACAUUCUUUGACAGUUCCAAAAUCCUAUGGCAAUCCUGAAGCUGGGUGCUCUCUGCUAACAGUCUCCCAUGUGAGCAUUGCAGAUGGAGGGCUGUGAGGCUGAGGCAUCUACACUGCUUUACAACCAGCAUUACAGCACAAGAGUGGUCUUACAGCAGUGAUACAUCCUGAAUCUGAGCUGUGUGAUGAAGCGAGGCCGCACGGCAGUCAUCACCCAUUCCUACAGCAGGCUUCCAAAUACAAACUGAAAAUAUAGCAUCAGGACAGUGGUUUCACCCAAGUCAGGUUCACAAGUCUAUCCACCAUCUGGAGCAAUUACAAGGUGGCUGGAAAGCCAUGGAAAUACUGUUCCCAAAGAAAGGACGUCCACUAGUGGAGGCACGGGUCCAUCCCAGAACCCUCACUCAUACCUCCAGGACAGUGAUGUGCUUCUCCACUAAGAUGCAGAAUGGAAGGGUCUGAGGACCUGAUGUUAACAUUUUUAGACAGGUAUCUCUUGGGGUCCAUCAUGUUUCUGGCAGUGUAACAGGAGAAACACCUUUGAGCUCCAACCUCUCUUUGGGAUUGUAACAGCAGCUGCAGGUUAUACAGAAGUCACUUAAAUGCUUAAAAUAAAUGUAUUAAUUGAGACCCAGAAACAGUUUUUACCAAAGACUUUAGCUUGUCUAACUUAAAAAGAAGUGGGAGCUGGCUGUUCACAAAAUGGUUUGCAGAGCUGGGUACAUAAUUUCUCCUCUAACAAAUCAUAGAAUCAC
ensembl:lncRNA